UACAGAGGGGGCGAGCGUUGUUCGGAAUUACUGGGCGUAAAGGGCGCGUAGGCGGCCCGCUAAGUCGAACGUGAAAUCCCCAGGCUCAACCUGGGAACUGCGUCCGAUACUGGCAGGCUUGAAUCCGGGAGAGGGAUGUGGAGUUCCAGGUGUAGCGGUGAAAUGCGUAGAUAUCUGGAGGAACACCGGUGGCGAAGGCGGCAUCCUGGACCGGUAUUGACGCUGAGGCGCGAAAGCUAGGGGAGCAAACGGG
rnacentral:rRNA from 1 species